GUAACAGAGAGUUCGAUUAUGGCUCAGAUUGAACGCUGGCGGGAUGCUUUACACAUGCGGGGGUCGAACGGGCACGGACUUCGGUCUGUGGCGAGUGGCGAACGGGUGAGUAAUGUAUCGGAACGUGCCUAGUAGCGGGGGAUAACUACGCGAAAGCGUAGCUACUACCGCAUACGCCCUUCGGGGGAAAGCGGGGACCCGGGCCUCGCACUAUUAGAGCGGCCGAUAUCGGAUUAGCUAGUUGGUGGGUAACGGCUCACCAAGGCGACGAUCCGUAGCUGGUUUGAGAGGACGACCAGCCACACUGGGACUGGAGACGACGGCCCAGAUCCGCAUGGAGGCAGCAGUGGGGACGGACAAUGGGGAAACCAUCUGUGCGCUAUCCCGCGUGUGCGAUGAAGGCCUUCGGGUUGUAAAGCACUUUUGGCAGGAAAGAAACGGCACGGAUAAUACCCCAGGCAACUGGAUUUGCCCGCAGAAUAAGCACCGGCUAACUACGUGCCAGCAGCCGCGGUGAAUAUUGCAGGGUGCAAGCGUUAAUCGGAAUUACUGGGCGUAAAAGCGUAUGCAGGCGGUUCGAGAAGAAAGAUGAAAUCCCAGAGCUUAACUUUGGAACUGCAUUUUUAACUACCGAGCUAGAGGCCAGAGGAGGAACCGGGCGUAGCAGUGAAAUGCAGAUAUGCGAGGAACACCGAUGGCGAUAUGUUCUGGGAUAACACUGACGCUCAUGCACGAAAGCGUAGAGCAAACAGGAUUAGACACCUGGUAGUCCACGCCCUAAACGAUGUCAACUAGCUGUUGGGGCCUUUCGGGCCUUGGUAGCGCAGCAUCAUGUGAAGUUGACCGCCUGGGGAGUACGGUCGCAAGAUUAAAACUCAAAGGAAUUGAUUUGAUCCGCCAGCGCGAUGAUGUGACCACCCGAUGCAACGCGAAAACCUUACCUUACCCUUGACAUGUCUGGAAUCCCGAAGAGAUUUGGGAGUGCCUGCAAGAGAACCGGAACACAGGUGCUGCAUGGCUGUCGUCAGCUCGUGUCGUGAGAUGUUGGGUUAAGUCCCGCAACGAGCGCAACCCUUGUCAUUAGUUGCUACGAAAGGGCACUCUAAUGAGACUGCCGGUGACAAACCGAGGAAGGUGGGGAUGACGUCAAGUCCUCAUGGCCCUAUAGGGCUUCACACGUCAUACAAUGGUCGGGACAGAGGGUCGCCAACCCGCGAGGGGGAGCCAAUCCCAGAAACCCGAUCGUAGUCCGGAUCGCAGUCUGCAACUCGACUGCGUGAAGUCGGAAUCGCUAGUAAUCGCGGAUCAGCAUGUCGCGGUGAAAUACGUUCUGGUCUUGUACACACCGCCUGCUACACCAUGGGAGUGGUUUUACUGUGAAGUAGUUAGCCUAACCGUAAGGAGGGCGAUUACCACGGUAGGAUUCAGGACUGGGGUGAAGUCGUAACAAGGUAG
rnacentral:rRNA from 1 species